CUAAUACAUGCGAGUUUUAUAAAUUUAAUUUUAAUUUUUUAAUUAAAAAUAAGUUUUAAAUGCGAAAAGGUGAGUAAUAGACGAAUAAAAACCUACAAAGUGAUUUUAACCAUAUAUUUUAUUUUAUAAAAACUUAUUUAAUAUUUAUCUAAGUUUUAAUAAUUUAAGCUUCUAUGCUUUAACUUAAACUAUAAAAAACUUAUUAUUUAU
rnacentral:rRNA from 1 species